rnacentral:RNase_MRP_RNA from 2 species
GGAUGUUCUGAAGACCUGCUCGCUAGGCUACGCACGGAGGGCAAUGGUUCCUCAUGGGCCUUGUGCCCGCCUAGGGGAAAGUCCCCGGACCGCAGGCAGAGAGUGCCGGGCGCUGCUGGCGCCCCCGCUCGCCCCUACCCUCACGCAGCCUCCGCCAAGACGCCUCCGGGCCGAGCGGGUGAGCGCGGGGCGGGCUCUCGUCACGGCCACAGAUACGCAGGUAGUGCGCAGGCGCACUAACAGAACGGGGCUCACUCUCAGGCCAUC